UUCUCCUGAAGGUGCACGGAAAGACGGUUUCGGCUGUCACCGCAGGAUGGGCCCGCGGCGCAUUAGCUAGUUGGUGGGUAAUGGCCCACCAAGGCGACGAUGCGUAGCCGACCUGAGAGGGUGAUCGGCCACACUGGGACUGAGACACGGCCCAGACUCCUACGGGAGGCAGCAGUAGGGAAUCUUCCGCAAUGGACGCAAGUCUGACGGAGCAACGCCGCGUGAGUGACGAAGGUUUUCGGAUCGUAAAACUCUGUUGGAGGGAAGAACAAGUACCAAGUAACUACUGGUACC
rnacentral:rRNA from 1 species